AAACAGCAGUGUGGUCUGGACCCGCAAAACACACUGCAGGCCUUCCCCACGGCCCCCCAGCACAGCAGCGACCCACUCUAGCCAGGACGGUGGGACAGGGAGAGAUUCAGCCUGGAGCGAUGGACGCGGGCCCGAAACUCACUCCGUGGUGGCUGUGAAGUCUGCGGUUCUUGGCAACAACAGUUUGAGAACAGAUGUUCUGCUCUGCAUUUCUCUAAACCUCCCAAAAGUCCUUCGUUCUCAGACUUCUAACGGUAUCAGACCGGGGAGGAACUGACAACUUCACCCUGAAGACUUCUGAGUUGCACAACUUCGGUUUGAGCGAGCUGGAAUAAUUGCAGAGACUUCCAAGAUGGCGCCAUUGGGUGCUUGGGGGAUAUUUCCAGAGGCGGCCGGGCAUGGAGCGUCCGCAGAGUGGAGAAAGUGACAGGGGAGAUGAUGGGACAACCUGCAAUUUAACCGACAGGCGAACGCAAAGACGCCCUGGUCCUCCGCGUGGAGCGGGGCCCGGGGCCCGCCUCCAGAUGGGAGUUGUGCGCCGAGGCAUUCCUCUAGUAUUCUGGGAUGCGGUCUGGAAACGGGGGUGACAGAGUGCUGCCGUGGUUACCAGCAAUUUGACUGUGGGCUUGUCGCUAUUUCAAUCCCCCGCUACCCCCCCCCCCCCUCUUAAAUGUGCAUGCAACAUGUCCUCUUACACACACGCACACACACACACACACACACACAGACACGUGCACAACACACAUGGGCGCACGCAUAUGCUCGUACUCUGAAUGCACAUAGACAGACACACACUGUCAGUGCUGGCUAAUUAUUUUUUUAUUUAAUUUGUUAGUUUAUAUUGUGUGUGUGUGUGUGACCACAGCAACCAAUGGGACAGUGAAAAUGACUAUAAAAUACGCACUAUAGGGGCCACAUAGGGGUUUGUCAAGUAUCGUGUGUGUGUGCUUCAGUUUAAUUCCACUGUGAACAUGCUCUUAAAAGUGUCUGUUUGAUCAUAACGAAUAAUUACGUAAACGAUUGAGGAAAACUGCAGUCAGUUCAGCGGAACAUUUGACUGUGUUACAGUAAUAAAUAAAUAUUU